UUCGGUGGGAAGCGGCGAACGGGUGAGUAACACGUAGGUGAUCUGCCCAUCAGACGGGGACAACGAUUGGAAACGAUCGCUAAUACCGGAUAGGACGAAAGUUUAAAGAUGCUCCUGGCAUCACUGAUGGAUGAGCCUGCGGCGCAUUAGCUAGUUGGUGGGGUAAAGGCCUACCAAGGCGACGAUGCGUAGCCGACCUGAGAGGGUGAACGGCCACACUGGGACUGAGACACGGCCCAGACUCCUACGGGAGGCAGCAGUAGGGAAUCUUCGGCAAUGGGCGAAAGCCUGACCGAGCAACGCCGCGUGAAUGAAGAAGGCCUUCGGGUUGUAAAAUUCUGUCAUAAGGGAAGAAAGGUGAUAGGAGGAAAUGACUAUCAAUUGACGGUACCUUAUGAGAAAGCCACGGCUAACUACGUGCCAGCAGCCGCGGUAAUACGUAGGUGGCAAGCGUUAUCCGGAAUUAUUGGGCGUAAAGAGCGCGCAGGUGGUUAAUUAAGUCUGAUGUGAAAGCCCACGGCUUAACCGUGGAGGGUCAUUGGAAACUGGUUGACUUGAGUGCAGAAGAGGGAAGUGGAAUUCCAUGUGUAGCGGUGAAAUGCGUAGAGAUAUGGAGGAACACCAGUGGCGAAGGCGGCUUCCUGGUCUGCAACUGACACUGAGGCGCGAAAGCGUGGGGAGCAAACAGGAUUA
rnacentral:rRNA from 1 species